GGAGCCGGUCAUUUGAGUAUGGAGAGACGACGGCUUGAGAUGAACUCAAGAACUUGCUCUUUGAAAGCGGCAAUGUCAAGAAAUUGAAGGCACUAUUUGGCUCACCCAUGAGAAGCGCAAAAUAUAAUACAUGGAGGUAUUAGGCUGUUUACU